UACGAAGGGGGGCGAGCGUUGUUCGGAUUUACUGGGCGUAAAGGGCGCGCAGGCGGUCAUUUUUUGUCGAGUGUGAAAGCCCCGGGCUUAACCUGGGAACUGCGCUCGAAACGGGGAUGACUAGAGAUCGGGAGAGGAGAGUGGAAUUCCCAGUGUAGAGGUGAAAUUCGUAGAUAUUGGGGAAGAACACCGGUGGCGAAGGCGGCUCUCUGGACCGAUACUGACGCUGAGGGCGGCGAAAAGCGUGGGGAGCAAACAGG
rnacentral:rRNA from 1 species